rnacentral:rRNA from 1 species
UACGUAGGGUGCAAGCGUUGUCCGGAAUUAUUGGGCGUAAAGAGCUCGUAGGCGGUGUGUCGCGUCGGCCGUGAAAACCUGCAGCUUAACUGUGGGCUUGCGGUCGAUACGGGCAUCACUGGAGUUCGGCAGGGGAGACUGGAAUUCCUGGUGUAGCGGUGAAAUGCGCAGAUAUCAGGAGGAACACCGGUGGCGAAGGCGGAUCUCUGGGCCGAUACUGACGCUGAGGAGCGAAAGCGUGGGGAGCGAACAGG